rnacentral:rRNA from 1 species
UACGUAGGGUGCAAGCGUUAAUCGGAAUUACUGGGCGUAAAGCGUGCGCAGGCGGUGAUGUAAGACAGUUGUGAAAUCCCCGGGCUCAACCUGGGAACUGCAUCUGUGACUGCAUCGCUGGAGUGCGGCAGAGGGGGAUGGAAUUCCGCGUGUAGCAGUGAAAUGCGUAGAUAUGCGGAGGAACACCGAUGGCGAAGGCAAUCCCCUGGGCCUGCACUGACGCUCAUGCACGAAAGCGUGGGGAGCAAACAGGAUUAGAUACCCUGGUAGUCCACGCCCUAAACGAUGUCAACUGGUUGUUGGGUCUUCAUUGACUCAGUAACGAAGCUAACGCGUGAAGUUGACCGCCUGGGGAGUACGGCCGCAAGGUUGAA